rnacentral:rRNA from 1 species
UAGGGAAUCUUCCACAAUGGGCGCAAGCCUGAUGGAGCAACGCCGCGUGUGUGAUGAAGGCUUUCGGGUCGUAAAGCACUGUUGUAUGGGAAGAAAUGCUAGAAUAGGGAAUGAUUCUAGUUCGACGGUACCUUACCAGAAAGGGACGGCUAAAUACGUGCCAG